rnacentral:rRNA from 2 species
UCCUGGACUUGACAUAGUAAGAAUGAUUUAGAGAUAGAUUAGUGUCUGCUUGCAGAAACUUGCAUACAGGUGCUGCACGGCUGUCGUCAGCUCGUGUCGUGAGAUGUUGGGUUAAGUCCCGCAACGAGCGCAACCCUCGUCCUUAGUUGCUAACAGUUCGGCUGAGAACUCUAAGGAGACUGCCUACGCAAGUAGGAGGAAGGUGAGGAUGACGUCAAGUCAUCAUGGCCCUUACGUCCAGGGCUACACACAUGCUACAAUGGGGUAUACAAAGAGCAGCAAUACGGUGACGUGGAGCAAAUCUCAAAAAUGCCUCCCAGUUCGGAUUGUAGUCUGCAACUCGACUACAUGAAGUUGGAAUCGCUAGUAAUCGUAGAUCAGCUAUGCUACGGUGAAUAC